rnacentral:rRNA from 1 species
UGGGGAAUUUUGGACGAAUUGGGCGAAAGCCUGAUCCAGCAAUGCCGCGUGUGUGAAGAAGGCCCUUCGGGUUGUAAAGCACUUUUGUCCGGAAAGAAAUCCUUGGCUCUAAUACAGUCGGGGGAUGACGGUACCGGGAAGAAUAAGCACCGGCUAACUACGUGCCAGCAGCCGCGGUAAUACGUAGGGUGCAAGCGUUAAUCGGAAUUACUGGGCGUAAAGCGUGCGCAGGCGGUUUGCUAAGACCGAUGUGAAAUCCCCGGGCUCAACCUGGGAACUGCAUUGGUGACUGGCAGGCUAGAGUAUGGCAGAGGGGGGUUAGAAUUCCACGUGUAGCAGUGAAAUGCGUAGAGAUGUGGAGGAAUACCGAUGGCGAAGGCAGCCCCCUGGG